rnacentral:rRNA from 1 species
CUAGCGUUGUUCGGAAUCACUGGGCGUAAAGCGCGCGUAGGCGGCCGGUCAAGUGCGGCGUGAAAGUCCUGGGCUCAACCCGGGGACGGCGCUGCGGACUGUCCGGCUGGAGUCCGGAAGAGGGUGGUGGAAUUCCGAGUGUAGAGGUGAAAUUCGUAGAUAUUCGGAGGAACACCGGUGGCGAAGGCGGCCACCUGGUCCGGUACUGACGCUCAAGCGCGAAAGCGUGGGGAGCAAACAGG